rnacentral:ncRNA from 1 species
AGGGUAUGGUCCCGACCCUUAAAUCAGCCCUAACUCAACUUACACAUGCAAGUUUCCGCAAUCCCGUGAAUACACCCAAAACCCCUAAUCAGGAAGCAAGGUGUAGGUAUCAGGUACAAGACUUUUAGCCCUAGACGCCCAGCCACGCCACACCCUCAAGGGAAUUCAGCAGUGAUAGACAUUAAGCCAUGGGUGAAAACCCGACUUAGUUAGAGUUAAGAGAGCCAGUAAAAUUCGUGCCAGCAACCGCGGUUAGACGAAUAGCUCAAGUUGAUUCAUACACGGCGUAAAGAGUGGUCAGGAGAAACAAAAAUAAAGUUAAAUGGUCCUUUGGCCGUUAUACGCUUCUAGGAGCCCGAAACCCAAAUACGAAAGUUACUCUAAAAAAAACAUCCGAUCCCACGAAAGCUGAGAAACAAACUGGGAUUAGAUACCCCACUAUGCUCAGCCAUAAACCAAGACACAAACGCACAACAAUGUCCGCCAGGGUAUUACGAACACCAGUUUAAAACCCAAAGGACCUGACGGUGCCUUAAACCCCCCUAGAGGAGCCUGUUCUAUAAUCGAUAAUCCCCGCUAAACCUCACCAUUUCUAGCUUAUUCAGCCUAUAUACCGCCGUCGUCAGCCCACCCACCGAGGGAAUAAAAGCAAGCAAAAAGAGUACAACUCAGAACGUCAGGUCAAGGUGCAGCAAACGAAAUGGGAAGAAAUGGGCUACAUUUUCUACAACAGAACAAUACGAAGACACAUUAUGAAACAAUGUUUAAAGGAGGAUUUAGUAGUAAAGAGGAAAUAGAGUGUCCUCUUGAACCCGGCUCAAAGGCACGUACAUACCGCCCGUCACUCUCCCCGCUAAGACUGCAUAAAAACCUACCUAACACAAAAGCGCACUCGAGGAGAGAAAAGUCGUAACAAGGUAAGUGUACCGGAAGGUGCACUUGGAUAACC